rnacentral:rRNA from 1 species
GUGUGGAAUUUUCCGCAAUGGGCGAAAGCCUGACGGAGCAAUGCCGCGUGAAGGAUGAAGGCCUAUGGGUUGUAAACUUCUUUUCUCAGAAAAGAAUUAUGACGGUAUCUGAGGAAUAAGCAUCGGCUAACUCUGUGCCAGCAGCCGCGGUAAGACAGAGGAUGCAAGCGUUAUCCGGAAUGAUUGGGCGUAAAGCGUCUGUAGGUUGUUUAAAAAGUAUUCUGUCAAAGAUUAGGGCUUAACCCUAGAUAGGCAGAAUAAACUUUUAAGCUAGAGUUUGGUAGAGGCAGAGGGAAUUCCCGGUGGAGCGGUGAAAUGCGUAGAUAUCGGGAGGAACACCAAAGGCGAAGGCACUCUGCUGGGCCAAUACUAACACUGAGAGACGAAAGCGAGGGGAGCAAAUGGGAUUAGAUACCCCUGUAGUCC